GCAGUCGACGCUGAAGCCUGGUGCUUGCACCGGGUGGAUGAGUGGCGAACGGGUGAGUAACACGUGAGUAACCUGCCCCUGACUUCGGGAUAAGCCCGGGAAACUGGGUCUAAUACCGGAUACGACUGCCGGACGCAUGUCUGGUGGUGGAAAGUUUUUUCGGUUGGGGAUGGGCUCGCGGCCUAUCAGUUUGUUGGUGAGGUAAUGGCUCACCAAGACGACGACGGGUAGCCGGCCUGAGAGGGCGACCGGCCACACUGGGACUGAGACACGGCCCAGACUCCUACGGGAGGCAGCAGUGGGGAAUAUUGCACAAUGGGGGAAACCCUGAUGCAGCGACGCAGCGUGCGGGAUGACGGCCUUCGGGUUGUAAACCGCUUUCAGCAGGGAAGAAGCGCAAGUGACGGUACCUGCAGAAGAAGUACCGGCUAACUACGUGCCAGCAGCCGCGGUAAUACGUAGGGUACGAGCGUUGUCCGGAAUUAUUGGGCGUAAAGAGCUCGUAGGUGGUUGGUCACGUCUGCUGUGGAAACGCAACGCUUAACGUUGCGCGUGCAGUGGGUACGGGCUGACUAGAGUGCAGUAGGGGAGUCUGGAAUUCCUGGUGUAGCGGUGAAAUGCGCAGAUAUCAGGAGGAACACCGGUGGCGAAGGCGGGACUCUGGGCUGUAACUGACACUGAGGAGCGAAAGCAUGGGGAGCGAACAGGAUUAGAUACCCUGGUAGUCCAUGCCGUAAACGUUGGGCACUAGGUGUGGGGGGGCAUUCCACGUUCUCCGCGCCGUAGCUAACGCAUUAAGUGCCCCGCCUGGGGGAGUACGGUCGCAAGGCUAAAACUCAAAGGAAUUGACGGGGGCCCGCACAAGCGGCGGAGCAUGCGGAUUAAUUCGAUGCAACGCGAAGAACCUUACCAAGGCUUGACAUACACCCGGACCGUCCUGGAAACAGGUCCUCUUCUUUGAAGCUGGUGUACAGGUGGGGGCAGGGUUGUCGUCAGCUCGUGUCCUGGAAAUGUUUGGGGUUAAGUCCCGCAACGAGCGCAACCCUCGUUCUAUGUUG
rnacentral:rRNA from 1 species